GUUAUCCCAAUGACAUCAUAGUUUGGUGGAGCUCUGGUUCCUCCUACCUCUUUCCCAGACUGCAGAUUGAAGUGGGCAUCCUUUUGCCCUGUUUUACCACUCCUGAGAUCUCCCCUGUCACUGUCACCCAGCACUCCUUGCCUUCCAGACCUGACCACCACUACCUCGCCUUACACAGCCACCCAUGGGCGCUAAUUGGUAGCAGGACCUACCGUGCUGGGCAUGCUCAUACAGGGGAAGACCUCCUUGAAACCGUGUUUUCAUACUGUAGUUGGACCAGCUCAGGCCUGCUCUGCUCCAAGGUUCGGUGUUAAAGUUCAUGCCAAACUAGAAGUCACCUACAAAGCUGACAAAGAGAGAAGAUUGAAAAGUGAGGAAAUUUAGUCAACUUUACAACUUUCCUCAGUCAGAAACACCUUAGGAUACAUUCAGUUCUUUAAUUUGGGAAGAGGGCGUGUGAGAAUAGGUUUGAAAGCAAAAAUCAUCCUAGCACUGACUGCCUGACUGAUACUCAGAUUAAUUUCAGUAAACAUAGUGAGCCUGUGGGAGAAGAGAUGAAGUCAGGUAUGACUAAUCUCAAUGUCUAGAGAUAAUAACUUGUCCCUAGUUAGAGGAGUGUGCUUUAUCCAUUCCUCCCUACGUGAUGUUUUUACAUCAACCAUUACAACUUAUUGUUAUUAUUAUUAUGCUUUUAUAUACCUGGAUAUGCACAAGACACCUCACACUAUUAAACCUUUAAGUUGCUGCUGCUUGCCAAUUCAACUGUGA